UUUCAGAACUAAGGAAGUGUUGUUCUCAUCACCCUCCAGUAAUCUGCUCCCCCUCAUCUACCCUCUCUCAAGACUUGGGACCAAAGAGCUCUGCGCCUGUGUCUGGCCUACGGUAGCCACCAUAGUCCAGAUUCUCAAGCUGCUUUCCAGGCCAGGGUUUACCUUUCUCCCUGCUAGCAUUCACAGCUCUGUAUCUGUCUACAAGAUCAGCCUUCCCAGCUGGGCACAGGUGGCUCCUGCCCAGAAUCCUAGCUACUCACGAGGCUGAGAUCUGAGGAUGGUGGUUCAAAGCCAGCCCCUGCAGAAAGCCCUUGGGACUCUGAUCUCUAGUUCAUCA